AUGAAGAUUCAUCAGAAAGAUAACGACAUUCUAUUCCCCCCACCGUGUCUGCAGGAAGAGCUGGAGCAGAUCGCCACAUGGUUGGACGAGGAGGGAUCCGCUGCCGACUCCCCCAGGGAGGCUCAGCUGUGUUUGCUGUGGCGAGCCCUCCGGCGCACAAGGAGCCGCCUGAGCAGUGUGACGAGGGAGCAGGACACGCAGCGCUCGCGGCACUUCGCAGAGAUGGCAGAGGUCCGAAAGUCCUUGGAGCAGAUCCGCAUCUUUACGGGGCACAAAGACGCUUUGGCUCGGGAGAUACAAGACGAGAACGACCAGCUCAGGGAUCAGCUGCGGCGGCUAAUAUCCCUUCAAGACGGCCAGAUAAGCGAGGUGGCUAAAAUGCUGUACCAGCAGGGUCUCACAGACUUGAUUCACAGCAGCCCCAGUGAGCAGGUGGCGUACCUCCUGGUGGAGAGGGCCUCGCUACUCGAGACAAGUGUGGAUCCCGCAAACUGCAGCAGCAGCAGCAACAACAACUCGAUGUGUGCUGGAAACACAACCAGGUCGAUGGGGACGGAGACACAAGCUCCCAACAGCAACGCGGGACAGGUUAGAAUUAAUCUGAAAAUGACCCUGUGGGCCACACGAGCAGGGUGUUGUUUUCACCCGUGUGUGUGUGUGUGUGUGUGUGUGUGUGUGUGUGUGUGUGUGUGUGUGUGUGUGUGUGUGUGUGUGUGUGUGUGUGUGUGUGUGUGUAUGUAUGUGUGUUUGUGUGUGUGUGUGUGUGUGUGUGUGGUGAUAUUAGUGGUGAUAUUUAUGUCCAUAAAAUUUACUUUUGCAGCUAAUAGGCUAAAGGUCAAGGUCAACCAAAAUAUGGUUCCAAAAUACAAUUUUUUUCAAGCUAUUGCUGCAAAAAAGAAGUGUAGACAGACGAUCGGGUAG
ensembl:lncRNA